GACGAACGCUGGCGGCGUGCUUAACACAUGCAAGUCGAACGGAAAGGCCCUGCUUUUGUGUGGUGCUCGAGUGGCGAACGGGUGAGUAACACGUGAGUAACCUGCCCUUGACUUUGGGAUAACUUCAGGAAACUGGGGCUAAUACCGGAUAGGAGCUCCUGCUGCAUGGUGGGGGUUGGAAAAUUUCGGCGGUUGGGGAUGGACUCGCGGCUUAUCAGCUUGUUGGUGGGGUAGUGGCUUACCAAGGCUUUGACGGGUAGCCGGCCUGAGAGGGUGACCGGCCACAUUGGGACUGAGAUACGGCCCAGACUCCUACGGGAGGCAGCAGUGGGGAAUAUUGCACAAUGGGCGGAAGCCUGAUGCAGCAACGCCGCGUGCGGGAUGACGGCCUUCGGGUUGUAAACCGCUUUCGCCUGUGACGAAGCGUGAGUGACGGUAAUGGGUAAAGAAGCACCGGCUAACUACGUG
rnacentral:rRNA from 1 species